CCAUUGUUAGUAUAGUGGUGAGUAUCCCCGCCUGUCAUGCGGGAUACCGGGGCUCUAUUCCUCACAUGGGG
rnacentral:tRNA from 1 species